AGGAGGGAGUCUGACCUGUUCGAGUCAUGGAACUUUCUAGGCUGAAGAAAGAAGUGCAUAGUCGCAAAAAUAAGGCAAUUAGCACCUGCUUAAAGGUCACCGCCCCUCCCAGCUUCUCCGGAGCCCCCAGCCUACCUGCAUUCCCAGAAGAGAUGGGGGAAGAGACAGGGAUAGGAGCACUUAAAUUCUGGAAGAUAAAUCAAGACUGUCUGUAUUUGCAGAUUUCACUUGGUGCUUGGAACUGAAGCAUUUUCUGUAUCACAGAUGACUACUGAACUUUGAGCACAGUGGAGGAGUGUUUUGUUGGGGCAAGUGGGAAACAAAUGUCAAGACGUUUCUAAGUCUGGUUUGCAGGAAGUUUUUCUAAGGACAACUACAGAGUAAAUCUUCCUACUAAUUUAAGGCUAGUAUUGGACUGUCAGAAAGUAUAGGUGAAAGGGCUGAUGUUCUGCAAGAGGGGACAGAGCUGAGCUGUUAAGAGGAAUGGGCUGUAAUGAGAUAGAUGUUAUCAGUAAGGUCAGUAGUAGAGAGCUUCUGUGGAAGAAAACCCUGAAACCCUGUGUGCUUCCAUCUCCUUUUCCCCUUGCCAUUAAAAUGAAGCCUGCCUACACUUUACUGCUGGUUGUAUACAGCUUGUUUGUGGGGAAAAAACAUGCCUACAUUUAA